UCAAAUUACCGAAGAAUUUGGUGUUGAAUAAGUCUUAUUUUUAUUUUUCCCAGUAAACAUAAAGAAAGCUAUGUUAACAUGAUACGAAAUACAUAUUGUUGGGCUACUGCAUUGAUUUGCUGUUUAAUUGUUGCAACCAGAAAGGUUCCAAUUCGAGACUGCGCAUCUUGUAACGCUUGGUAUAAUAGACAGUGUACUGAACAGCAAUGCCCAUCUACGAAUAUUAUGGUAAUUAAGUCAGCAUGGGCCCAUCGAUGUGCUGAGAUCUGGGAUGAGUGUGAAAAACUGUGCUUUAAACACUAACACAUAAUAAUACAUUCUCGGAAUUUGUACAUAAACAGGACAGAGAUUAAAAAAUCAAUGUUAACGUUGACGUAUAAUAAAACAACCUUGGACUUUGUACAUUAGCAGGACAGAGACGUAUGAUAAAACAAUCUUGGACUUUGUACAUUAGUAGGACAGAGAUUAAAAAAAUCAAUGAUAAAACGUUGACGUAUAAUGAUAUAAUCUUGGAAUUUGUACAUAAGCAGGACAAACAUAAAAAAAUCAAUGAUGGUUUUUAGAAAAUGGUAUUAAAAUCUAAGAAUAUUUUGUCCACUAUUGAAAAGUAUUUAGUGUCUUCACAAUAUGAUUUCAAUAGAUUUAUUAGGAAGAUUAAAGUAUCACUGGAUAUUACAUAAAACAAGGUCGUGUUUCAGAUAGUUUGAAACGCCUUUGUUAGCGAUAGCGUAAUCUAUAUCUAUAACCUGACUUGUGAAUUUAAAUAUUUACGUGGUUGCGGCUAGAUCUUAAUGAUUUGACGUGUUUUCACAAGAAACUGAUGUUGUAACAACUUUGCAGAGAAGACCAACAGUCAUCAACUACUACGAGCGGUAUAAAUAGAGAAACACAAUACAUAUAAAUGAUCACGAUUAAUGUAAUUAUAUAUUGUUGAAUUAAACAUUAAGAAGACCGCCAUCUUGGAUUUGUCUUUGUUUAAACAGGUCGACAUCGAUCAAUUUUAAAAUUUGCAACAUUUGAGGCAAGGUCUCAGAAGUUAUGAUUAUAUCUUUGGAAAUGCACUUGCGUAAACAUUGAUAUCUCAUUCUAAAACGCAUAUUUAAGAUACAUGCCACAAUUAUUGACUUAUUCCUGAAUCAAAGAAUCGACCAGAGCAAAGGGAAUGACUUUACAACUGGAACCGUUUUCGUUAUGACAAAAGUUAAGUCAUCAAUAUUUGUUUUACUGAAUGUUGAAUGUAUGUAUAUGUAUUCUGUUUCAUGGGAAUUUAACACACAACUUUAAAUCAUUUUAGUAGAAGUGUCUCCCAAUCUUUAAAAAAACAAAAACAAACUAAAAAAAUCCUUAUCUGCAUAAUUUGGCAUGAUUAUCUAUACCUUUUCCAAGAAAAAAUUCUUUCCGAACACUUGAAUAGGCCUCUCAUGAUAUAUUUCAAUACCAGUCACUACAUGUACUGAAAAGUUAUACUUGUUCUGUGCACAGAAUGGCAAAAGUGGGAUAUUUACCUUCUAUGUUUUCGAUUACAUUUUGGUUAAUAUUAUUUCAAAAACAAGUUUCUCUAUCCCUCUCUCUUAAAAUAAAUAUCGUUAAACAGCUGAACAUAUGUGUCGAUUAACAUUUUUUAUUUUAUGGCAAUUAAAUUUCAAAUGCAACUAUCAGAAAGAGAAAUAACGCAUAUGAAACAUAAGUGAUACUCGGGUAUUCUGAAAUCAGUCUUUUAGAAAUUUUAUAGCGUGAUUUUUUUGGAGCCUUAAUUGUGACGUAUUAGAAUAGUAAAACAACCAACAAGCUUUAAGACAAUUUUUUAAUCUGGUCUAUUCAUAAAGAGUAAUGAGGGGUCGACAAAAAACUGGCGUCAGUUAGUUUGAAUUUAAUCUUUAAUCGGGGACAUUGUUAUUACCGGUCUUGUUUUGUUAAAGUUACAACGUUAACGUACUACGCAUCUCUUGUGCAGGUAACACCAGAAAAGCACUUCAUAUACAUGAAUUCAAAGCGUUUAGUUGAUUCAUUAACGAUUGUGAGUUUUCUUAUGAUUUAUUCAUGGCUAUUGUGCUUAAUCCCCCCCCUUUUUUUUUAAUAAAAAUCACAGUUUUGUGUUAAAUUUUUAGCAAUCUUAGGGGUAUUGUGCUUAUAUUUGCUAUAAACUUAUAUUUUGAAUAUUUACAUAUCAUUAGAGAUUUGGUAAUUUUCUAGCAAUCUUUGGGGUAUUGUGCUUAUAUUUGUUAUAAACUUAUAUUAUGAAUAUUAAUAUAUCAUCAGAUAUUUAAGUAACAUUUCGAAGAAUGUGCAUUCAUAAUCUUUGAGUAAACCAUGAAGAAAUUUAACAUUUCCACAAGCAACCAUUACAACCCUCACAACAGCAACAUAAUUGUCAUUGUACAGUUGUAUGGUUUUAAUUCAUGAUUAUUAAAUGCAUAAAUAUUAUGUUUUACCACUUUUUAUCAUUGUUUAGAUCAAUUGCUUGGUUUUAUAGCAUCAGUUGUUGCUUAGUUUGGUAGAUAUUUAGAGUAGAUAGUUGUUUUGAUUCGAGCCUUGUAUCUUUGACGAGUUUUGUCAAUGAUAUUUCAUAUCAACAUAAGAGCACUUACUACUGUGCUUAUAAUAUUGUCGGUUUCAAAACGCGAAACAUCAGUGUACCUAUAUAUAUAUACAACAUAUUAGGUGAAAUACAUUUGGACGAAACUACCACAUUUUGUUCAGUCGCUUUAUAUUAAAAUUAGCGGUUUAAGACACGUUUUAGACGGAUGUGACAUCGAAACUGACAAAUAUUGUGGUUGAAAUUAUACAACAUUCGAUGUAAAAAUCAGUCAUCAAUUUAUUUUUGAACUGAACUGAAGAUAGGUAUGCUAAAAUGAAGAUUACCAUAAUCUUAGUAGCUGUUAUUUGCCUUCCUAUGAUGGUAUCAGGAAGAACGAUUUCAAUUCGACACCGAAGGGAAUGCGACUCGUGCAAUAUGCGCUUUAAUCGGAACUGUAUCAAUCAUCCGUGUCCAUACGCAUCUUUUAUUGACCGGUCUUCCAUCUUCAGAACGAUUUGUGUCACUGAUUGUGCCAGUCGAUGGAACUUAUGCGAUGUGCAUUGUAAACAUUUGACAAAAUAAUAUUUUAUUUUCAAAUUAUUGUGUGGCAUCACUGAAUGCACCAGACUGUCGAACUACUGUCAUGUACAUUAUCAACAUUCAUUGGACAAAAUAAUAUUUUAUUUUCAAAUUAUUGUGUGGCAUCACUGAAUGUACCAGACUGUCGAACCACUGUCAUGUACAUUAUAAACAUUGGACAAAUGACAUUUCAUUUUCAAAUUAUUGUGUGGCAUCACUGAAUGUACCAGAAUGUCGAUAAACUGCCAUGUGCAUUGUAAACAUUGGACAAAAUAGCAUUUUAUUUUCAAAUUUUUGUGUGGCAUCAGUGAAUGCACCACACUUUUGAACCACCACUGUCAUGUGCAUUGUAAACAUUGGACAAAAUUGCAUUUUAUUUUCAAAUGUUUGUGUGGCAUCACUGAAUGCACUACCCUUUUGAACCACCACUGUCAUGUGCAUUGUAAACAUUGGACAAAAUUGCAUUUUAUUUUCAAAUUUUUGUGUGGCAUCACUGAAUGCACUACCCUUUUGAACCACCACUGUCAUGUGCAUUGUAAACAUGGGCCAAAAUAGCAUUUUAUUUUCAAUUUUUGUGUGGCAUUACUGAAUGCAACACACUUUUGAACCACUGUUAUGUGCAUUGUAAACAUUGGACAAAAUAGCAUUUUAUAAUCAUAUUAUUUCUUUAUAUAUGGUAUAACCACAUGUAUAUACGGAUAUGAUAACAAGUUAAGAGGAUUGAAGAGAUCUGUAAAAUCGUUUGGUUUUCAACUAUCACUGCCAACGCCUAGAACAAAUUUUUUUACAACAUGAGAACAUUCUUCAUAAUAUUAAUUUCAUAUUUGCCAUUAUGAUAAACGUUGAUCUUUUCUACUGGUUAAAUGUUCGUGAAAGUUCAAGAAUUAUUACCACAUUUGCAUUUAUUUUAUAUGUGAUGUAUAAUUUGGAAUCAACUAAGAACUUAUUUUGUGCAUAAUAUUUAAUAAACAACGAAUAUUGUUAUAUACAUUUCAAAAAUAAAUGAUUAAUAUUUUAAAAGGACCAUGCAAA